UACGGGGGGAGCAAGCGUUGUCCGGAAUUAUUGGGCGUAAAGAGCUCGUAGGCGGUCUGUCGCGUCUGCUGUGAAAACUCGAGGCUCAACCUCGAGAUGUCGGCGGAAACCAUCUGGCUAGAGUCCGGAAGAGGAGAGUGGAAUUCCUGGUGUAGCGGUGAAAUGCGCAGAUAUCAGGAGGAACACCAAUGGCGAAGGCAGCUCGCUGGAACGGUACUGACGCUGAGGCGCGAAAGCGUGGGGAGCAAACAGG
rnacentral:rRNA from 1 species